rnacentral:lncRNA from 1 species
CCGGCCUAGUUUGCGGCUGCUCCUGCCGUGUUGCGUAGGGCGCCUGUGCUUGAGGUUGGGGGUUGCGUCGCUCUCUGGUAAAGGCGUGCAGGUGUUGGCCGCGGCCUCUGAGCUGGGAUGAGCCGUGCUCCCGGUGGAAGCAAGGGAGCCCAGCCGGAGCCAUGGCCAGUACAGUGGUAGCAGUUGGACUGACCAUUGCUGCUGCAGGAUUUGCAGGCCGUUACGUUUUGCAAGCCAUGAAGCAUAUGGAGCCUCAAGUAAAACAAGUUUUUCAAAGCCUACCAAAAUCUGUAAGACUUUGUUAAUUCUUUGCUGCUUCUAUUUGAAACCUAGAGCCACACUUAGGGAAGGGUAAAUUUCCAAAUAUCCAUGAAGUUCUAAGUGAUUGCUUUGGACCCAUUCUCCUGCUUCCUGCAAGGAGAGUAUAGAAGUUCUGAACUUUGUGAUGGUGCUACCCUGAAACAUCAGAUGUUAUAUGUGACAGAGUUGGAUGGGGUUUUGACAAUUCUAGUACCCCACUAGACCCAAGUUUCACUUUUUCACAUACCAUCACCUUCAGCAUCAUCUGUACAUAUUCUUGUUUUCCUUCAUCUGCUCUGCAUCGCACACACAGAGGUAUAUGAUUCUAAAGUGAUCCGAUCUGACCAUGUGGCCCUGGCACUCCCAAACAUCAUACAUAGGUAGCACUCUAGUUAAUUAGGCUAUAGGGUUUGGCUUGAUGUUAUGGUCAUACUCUCUGUGGUCACAGUUAAGAAUAGAUUUGGCUGUGAUCACCUGUUGAAUAUGUUGUGAUUAAGUGUAACAGAAUAGAGUGAUUGUAGGCUUUACCAAUAUGAUUUCUGACAUGGCAAGGUCAGAGGACCUAAUAGUGGUAUUUUCUGUAUAUAUAUCUUAAAGUCUUGUUUCAAAUACACUUGAACCUCUUGUCUCAAAAGACUUCUGUUCUUGAGCCACUUCUUGCAGAUUUUUAUCUAGAAUAUGGCUAAUUUGGAAUGAUCUUUCCUUUACUCCCGGAAGACCUGGCUUUCAGACACUGUUAUUUUGUCUUAUAUUUCUAAGAUAGUUCAUAUUGACUGGAAAAAAAUGAAUCUGUUUAAUGAUCAUUAAAAUACUACUUGUUGCUACUUAUUUAU